AAGUCGUAACAAGGUAACCGUAGGUGAACCUGCGGUUGGAUCAUUAAUAAAAUUGAUCUUCCAGCUUUCCAGCACAUGCUACAUUUCGGUGUAACGUGGGCUGCAGGCUAGGAGGCAACUCACUCGUUGUUAGUGAGUGUCUGACAUUUUGUGAACUGUACCUGUCUCUGGCAGGGGGGUGGCCUGAAAAUCCACCUGUCUAACUCUGUUGGACAACUCUGCCAGCCACCUUGUCAUACACAUUUUGGUUAUGUCUUAAAACUUGUAUUUUCAUAAUGCAAACAAAAACAACUUUUGGCAACGGAUCUCUUGGCUCUC
rnacentral:misc_RNA from 1 species